UUUAGACUUAAGAGCUAUUCAAAUAAGGCACAGCUUAUUUGAAAUAGGACACAACCUACAACAUAGGGUAAACUAGAGUGACCUAAAUAAAGUGGGCCUAAAAGCAGCCACCUUUAGAAAAGCGUUAAAGCUUAACUACCUUCACUCAUAAUGCCUAAAAUCUCCACUAACCCUUCAUUACUACUGAACAAUUUUAUACUCAUAUAAAAGCUAUCAUGCUAGAACUAGUAACAAGAAACUGCUUUCUCCUAAAUGUAAACAUAAACCAAAAUAGACUCUCUAUUGGUUAUUAACGUAAAUGCUAAACUGUAGCAACACUCACUAGAAAAUCCUAUAAACCCCAACGUUAACCUUACACCAGAACAUUACAGGAAAGAUUAAAAGAAAAAGAAGGAACUCGGCAAAUUUUAGCCUCGCCUGUUUACCAAAAACAUCGCCUCUUGACAAAACAUAAGAGGUCCAGCCUGCCCAGUGACAAAGUUCAACGGCCGCGGUACCCUAACCGUGCAAAGGUAGCACAAUCACUUGUUCUUUAAAUGAGGACUCGUAUCAACGGCACUACGAGGGCUAUACUGUCUCCUUUUUCUAAUCAGUGAAACUGAUCUCCCCGUGAAGAAGCGGGGAUUAUAAUAUAAGACGAGAAGACCCCAUGGAGCUUUAAACUCACCAUGCACCUCUGUGCUCCUAUACCCCUAAACACAACAGACCUGCAUGUUAGUUUUAGGUUGGGGUGACCACGGAGUAUAACUUAACCUCCACAGCAAACGGGCUAAUACCCUUAUCCGCGAGACACAACUCUAAGAAUUACUAAACUAAUGCUUACGACCCGAUAUUCGAUCCAUGAACCAAGUUACCCUGGGGAUAACAGCGCAAUCUACUUCAAGAGCCCAUAUCGACAAGUAGGUUUACGACCUCGAUGUUGGAUCAGGGUAUCCCGGUGGUGCAGCCG
rnacentral:rRNA from 1 species